UCCGAGUUGACCCCGGCAGUCUCCGAUGAGUCCCCGCCAUUACGCGCUGGCAACAUCGAAUAAGGGUUGCGCUCGUUGCGGGACUUAACCCAACAUCUCACGACACGAGCUGACGACAACCAUGCACCACCUGUACGCAGCCCUUGCGGACCCGACAUCUCUGCCGGUUUUCUGCGUAUGUCAAGCCCUGGUAAGGUUCUUCGCGUUGCGUCGAAUUAAACCACACGCUCCACCGCUUGUGCGGGCCCCCGUCAAUUCCUUUGAGUUUCAGCCUUGCGGCCGUACUCCCCAGGCGGGGCACUUAAUGCGUUAGCGCCGGCACCCAGGGGGUCGCUCCCCCAGGCACCUAGUGCCCAUCGUUUACGGCGUGGACUAC
rnacentral:misc_RNA from 1 species